AUUUUUGACCUUUUAUUUUAUUUUGUAAUUGGGUCUUUUCCCUCCCAGUCCCAUCAGCCCCGUUGAUGCCGCUGUACAGGUGGGUCUUCAGUCGCGCAGGUGAACAUCCGGGUCAUCUGCUCGGCGCGCGGUGCUUCUGGACGCGCGCGGGUCUUCCUCACGUUUCAUCCGCGAGGAGAAAACUAGAAACUUUACAGCCCAGCUCUACCGUAAGCACCGCUGCGGCUCGUUGCCGCGGCCGGAGCGCGCGCGCGCACGCUGGGAAGGGGUGGCACAGACCAAUCAUCUGCACGCGGAGGCAGGGGGUGGGGGUGCUGCUGCUGCUCCUGCUCCUGCUGCUGCUCCCGCCAUAAGGAGUUAGUUUGCAGAGAGACCCAGCAGACGCGAUGCUGCAGAAGAAGCUCCGUCACAAGCUUUCUGCAGAUUAGGUGGAGUCUGGAGGUCUCCUGCUGUGAUUGGCUGAAGUCGGAGGUUCUCCAGCAGAACGCUCCUGUUUGUUUACACCAACUUCCUCCAGCGGCUGAUUUCUCUGAGGCAGGUGAGGAACAUGUGGACUCCUCUGUGAGGACCAGAAGAUGAACGAGUCCUCCUGCUGCCAUCCUCCUGCCGUCACGUAUCAGCAGAGUUCCCGAUGGGACCUCAACGCCAGCUGCGACUGGUCGGCCCCUCGCUGUAACUGGACGUCGGGGGACGGGCCCCUGCAGCUGCCCACCUUCUCCACGGCGGCGAAGGUCCGGGUGAUCAUCACCUUCAUCCUGUGCGGCGUGUCCACCCUCUGCAACUCCGCCGUGCUCUGGGCGGCCAUCGGCCACAAGCGCAAGUCUCACGUCCGGGUGUUGAUCAUCAACCUGACGGCGGCGGAUCUGUUGGUCACCUUCAUCGUGAUGCCGGUGGACGCCGCGUGGAACAUCACGGUACAGUGGUUGGCGGGCGACGCGGCCUGCAGGUUCCUCAUGUUCCUCAAGCUGCAGGCCAUGUACUCCUGCGCUUUCGUGACGGUGGUGAUCAGCCUGGACAGACAGUCGGCCAUCCUCCGCCCUCUGUCCAUCAGCGCGGCCCCGCGGAGGAACAGGAGCAUGCUGACGGUGGCGUGGACCAUGAGCGCCGUGCUCUCCGUCCCUCAGAUGUUCAUUUUCCAUAAUGUCACCAUCACCCACCCAGCAAACUUCACCCAGUGCACCACUAGAGGGAGCUUCGUGACCCACUGGCAGGAAACGGCCUACAACAUGUUCACCUUCACCUGCCUCUUCCUGCUGCCGCUCAGCAUCAUGAUCAUCUGCUACACCCGGAUCUUUAUUCAGAUCUCCAAGCAGAUGACCAAAAAAAACGUUUCCUCCGACGAGCCGCAUCUGCGCUGCUCAAAGAACAACAUCCCCAAAGCCCGGAUGAGAACUCUGAAGAUGAGCGUUGUCAUCGUCGUCGGCUUCAUCGUGUGCUGGACUCCAUACUACCUGCUGGGUCUGUGGUACUGGUUCUUCCCCGACGACCUGGAAGGGAAGGUGUCCCACUCGCUCACUCACAUCCUCUUCAUCUUCGGGCUUUUCAACACCUGCCUGGACCCCAUCAUCUACGGCCUCUUCACCACUCGCUUCCACAGGGGACGGAGGAAGUGCUACAGCGGGGCGACCGCCACCCUCAGCCUGGAAAGCAAGGUGGUGACGGCCGAGGCUGUGAAGCGUAGCUCAGACGCUUCAGCCUCCAGAGGAGACGCAGGUGAAAAGGACAACAACUCCGCACGGACUGAGCGCCAAUCCAGCGGUGGAAACAUCUGACUGUAGUCUGGAGGAGGGCCUCCUUUUUCUACUUUGUGUCAAAACCAGCAUGCAUGUAGAAAACAUCUCACUUACCCGUCUGAUGCUAUGUUCACACCGGGCAAGUGAUGCUCCUUCAAGUACACACUGAACUCGGGUUCUUCAACACGCUUUUAGCCUACGGGGUCCACACUAGGCUGAGAUGAACUGCAGAUACAGCUGCGCUCGGUAAUCAUUUGGUGGUUUAAACCCCCCAAUCCAACCCCUCACUGCUUAGUGUCAAGCAGGGAGGCGCUGGGUCCCAUUUGGUACGACUCGAUGGUGGAUUUGAACUCACAACCUGCCAGUCUCAGGGCAGACACUCUACCGCAAGGCCACUCAGCGGGUUCAAGUCUUGCGAAACAUACUCCAGAUUAAUCAUUUACACUUCUAUUACGAUAUUUGAAAGACUUGGUGUCGUACAAUUCCUGCAAUAAGAACUGCUGAGAAUGGUUGAAAUGGACGCCACUCAUAUAUCACCACCAAAUUUAAGUCCCUGAUUGGUCGAAGUUAAACUGGUUUCGUUAUACUUUUCCUUCUGAAUUUCCCUCCGGGGAUCAAUAAAGUACUGUCUUAUCAUAUCAUAUCUUAUCCCGACUUUCAGUGGCUGUGCGUUUUUCACAUAGAGCCUGGAAACAGACUUAAAAAUGCAAGAAUUUUUCAGUUUUCAGUUUCUUUUUUAUUUCAAACACAAAUGAAAAAUCAACACAGUGGUUUAAAAAAUACAUAAAACAAUACAGUGUGUUUGGAAAUGAGUGGGUUGAAGAGAAAUCUUGUCUGAUCCCACCCCUUUUUACAACACCUGAUGAUGCUCAUAUUUCUAUUUACAGAUAUGUACAAAACGUGCACGGUACAAUUUGAACACGGAACCCUAAAACGGACACAUUUGUGCGUUUUUCAUAGACUUUUCAUUGAAAGGGGUCACUUGAACGUGCAUAUCCGAGCCAGGUGUGAACGUAUGUCUGGAUGAGUUUUCAUACCCGAGUCUCUGUCUCAACCCUCCUUUGACAGUGAAGCGCGUUGGAAAAGACGGUUGCAUGUUGACCAGCUGCUUUGAAAAAACCUUUAGUGGUGUCUGCAGAUGAACCAGCCAUUAAACAAAUCCAAAACAAGGAGGUGACGCUCAUUCAAUGUGAGAAAAAACAGAUGCCUAACAGGUGAAGAGGGCUUAUGGUUUUGCCAAAGGAAUGUUUCAUUCAAUCAGUGGGUUCAGGCAGCUGAGCAUUUGGUUCAGACAAACCGUUUUAACAACUAAGAAAAACUAUACUAAUAAGGAAAGUAAAGGAGCUAUGGUGGAGUGUCUGUUAUUUACAGGUUGACUCUUCUGAAUCAAACAGGUUACAGAAUUCAGAUUAGGAAAGUGCUUUUCUUAUAUCUUUGGAGUUUUUUUUUACGUUUUAUUUUACUUACAAGGUGUAGGUUAGAGAAUCUCGCCCCGCCCCACAAGAACUUAAAUCCUGCUGCACUUCCUCAUGUUCUCCACAGCCUCUGACUGUUUCUCACCUCAUGAUGCCGCACGAGCCCAGAACACAAGCGGAAAGACAAAGUACAGCUGCUGUGAUCUGGACAGGGCCGCAAAUCAUCCCGCUCAGCUCGCACUGCAAAACAACUGGCUGGAGAAAACACGUGUGACUCCACGUUCACGAUGAGCAGCAAGGCUACACGCUGGAUUACACUGAAGAUCCAGUUAUGUCCACAUGGAGCCAUACGCAUGUGGGAGAAUCAAAUCAGCUGAUGGGAGUAAAGUGUUUUUCUUUAAACAGAUUAUUUAUUUGCUUUGUGUGGAUUCUAUUCAGGCUUUGGAACAUUUUUGUUUGUUUUGUUUUAGAUGUACUUCUGCAUCUUCUGUUGGACUAAAGGACUCCUGUCAAGGUUUUAGAAAGAAAAUAACGUCAUCUGCAAAGAAAGUGACCAAAACUGUUCACAGGAGUCAUCUAGAGAAAAAAAAAACCUGCAACAACAUCCUUCUUUGCCAUCGGAAGAACUUAACAUUAAUUUUUCGGGUGUUUUCUUCGAAGUGAAGGUGAGUCAGUUUUGCAUCUAUAAUCCUGGUUUCCAAAAUGUUCUCUGAUUAACGGGAUACAUCAAAUGCUGUUGAAAUACCUCCAAAACAUCCAGAGUAAAGGGAAGUUAAGAAAAUACAACAACAAAAAAAGAUGUAAUAAAUUCAUCUGUGAAGAAAAGGAUAAAAGCUAGAUCUGCAGAAUCUGAAAAAGAUAAACACACAAAAAACAACAACUGUAAUGAUGUUAAUGUUUGAUGUUUUUAGAAAAUGUAAAUCACUCAAAACACACAAAUGUAAUCAAUAUUAAAAUAUAUAUUUAACCCUGGAGAAGCACUUGGGGCAACUUUUGAGGUGGGGUUUUUUUUUUUUUUUUUUUUUUUUUUUAUAUUUU